UUCAUUCCCUUCGGUUGUUUAAAACUGUAUGGCAGUAAGCCUCAAAACAUCUCAGAAAAAAGAAUUCUUGUUUUGAAUCACCAAGAAUCGAGGCGCAGAAGUUGAUGGUCACCUGAAAUGGUCAUCUGAGGAGCUUAGUUCUCAGUUGUCUCAUGACCUCCUGUUUCCCAGGCUGUUUUCCACYGUCUCUAAGAGCAUCUCUAACAACAAUGUCACUAAAUGAACCAUUAGUCUGAUUUGUUGCAGUGUUUCCUUGC